rnacentral:lncRNA from 1 species
CUGUAAUACUUUGUGUCAUUUUUAUUGGUAUUUUUUUUAGGAUUGUAAUAGGAUAUUCUAAAAGGUAAUAAGUAAUCAAAUUCAAUGACAUAAAUGCUGUAUGCAUUUUAUAAAUCAAAACGACAAUUAUUCAACAGCUGAUAAAUGUGUUCAUGCGCAACUAAGUAAUACAAAAAAAUAUAAUUUGCAUGGUGUUGUAACUACUGCGAGUCAAGUGGAUAAGUUGACCUUGUUAGUUAAGUUGCUGGCAAUAGUGAAUAAAAUACUGUUGGAGAUUGUUGGAAAACUGAUCAGUGAUGCGUGUCUCAUGCACUAACUUUGGAUGAACUCUACAAAAAUUGUAUACGUUACUCAUGAUACUAGAAUUUUUGUCAAUGGAGAUAGACGUUAAUCUAUUUUAUAGUAUUGUUGGGAUCACUCAGAUGCGCCCUUCCCAGUGCUCGGAUAAUGACUGGAUCAAAUAAGAACAGGCUUUAUUUGGUUGACGAAUGAAGUAGAGAAGAUUUUUUAAGUGAAGGGAACAUUUGUAUAAUAAUUCUUUAUUAAUUUUCCUAUACUUAUGUCGAAGAAGUUAUAAUAAUAAGUGACAAUAGUUUUGGUUAUUUUUAUAAAUUGAGGAAAUGAUUUCAAAAGUGAAUAAUUUGAACAAACAUCUUGCUGUAACUAUAUACAAGUUAAUAUAACAAUUAAUUUAAAAUAAUGUAACAAUAUAUGAAUUAAAACUUUUUCUGAUUUUUUAUUUAAACAUUUAUUUGUGUACCAUUCUUUUCAUACGCACUGUAGCCUACUUAAGUGGACUAUAUUUUUUAGAUGAUGUUUUUUUUUAUUUUCUCCUUACUCCAUCAUUUUGUAGAUACAUAAUAUAUAUAUAUCUUUACAUAUAUUUUAUUAUAUACAUAUAUCUUUUCCAUCGGUAGACAUCAUUUUAGAAAAGGUGCAUCAGGUAUUAUUAUUUUAUUGAUUUUUUAUUUUAAAAAACUGAUCUUACACAAAUCAUAUAUGUAUCGUACGUAAAUUUUAACUGGAUUAUUUUUAGAUUUAAUAGUCUUUUUUGUCUGCCUGUGUUUCUUAAAAUGAGUAUAUAUGAAUUAAAAAUUAUAAUAUAAUUCUGCACACAUUACACAUUACUUAGCUAUCAAUAAAUAUGUAUACUAGUCUUCUCCGUCUGUCUG